rnacentral:rRNA from 1 species
UACGUAGGGUGCAAGCGUUAAUCGGAAUUACUGGGCGUAAAGCGUGCGCAGGCGGCUCUGCAAGACAGAUGUGAAAUCCCCGGGCUUAACCUGGGAACUGCAUUUGUGACUGCAAGGCUAGAGUGCGGCAGAGGGGGAUGGAAUUCCGCGUGUAGCAGUGAAAUGCGUAGAUAUGCGGAGGAACGCCGAUGGCGAAGGCAGUCCCCUGGGCCUGCACUGACGCUCAUGCACGAAAGCGUGGGGAGCAAACAAG